rnacentral:rRNA from 1 species
UGGAGUGAAUAAUUUCAUUUGAUGGUACCUCAGGAGGAAGCACCGGCUAACCUCGUGCCAGCAGCCGCGGUAAUACGAGGGGUGCAAGCGUUGUUCGGAAUCACUGGGCGUAAAGCGUGCGCAGGCGGUUUUGUAAGACAGAUGUGAAAUCCCCGGGCUUAACCUGGGAACUGCGUUUGUGACUGCAAGGCUAGAGUACGGCAGAGGGGGUGGAAUUCCUGGUGUAGCAGUGAAAUGCGUAGAGAUCAGGAGGAACACCGAUGGCGAAGGCAGCCCCCUGGGCCUGUACUGACGCUCAUGCACGAAAGCGUGGGGAGCAAACAGGAUUAGAUACCCUGGUAGUCCACGCCCUAAACGAUGUCGACUAGUCGUUCGGAGCAGCAAUGCACUGAGUGACGCAGCUAACGCGUGAAGUCGACCGCCUGGGGGAGUACGGCCGCAAGGUUAAAACUCAAAAGGAAUUGACGGGGACCCCGCACAAGCGGUGGAUGAUGUGGAUUAAUUCGAUGC